GGGGGAUAUUGCGCAAUGGGGGAAACCCUGACGCAGCAACGCCGCGUGAAGGAAGAAGGUCUUCGGAUUGUAAACUUCUUUUGUCAGGGACGAAGAAAGUGACGGUACCUGACGAAUAAGCUCCGGCUAACUACGUGCCAGCAGCCGCGGUAAUACGUAGGGAGCGAGCGUUGUCCGGAUUUACUGGGUGUAAAGGGUGCGUAGGCGGCCGAGCAAGUCAGUUGUGAAAACUAUGGGCUCAACCCAUAAAUUGCUUUCAAAACUGCUGGCCUUGAGUAGUGCAGAGGUAGGUGGAAUUCCCGGUGUAGCGGUGGAAUGCGUAGAUAUCGGGAGGAACACCAGUGGCGAAGGCGACCUACUGGGCACCAACUGACGCUGAGGCUCGAAAGCAUGGGUAGCAAACAGGAUUAGAUACCCUGGUAGUCCAUGCCGUAAACGAUGAUUACUAGGUGUUGGAGGAUUGACCCCUUCAGUGCCGCAGUUAACACAAUAAGUAAUCCACCUGGGGAGUACGACCGCAAGGUUGAAACUCAAAGGAAUUGACGGGGGCCCGCACAAGCAGUGGAGUAUGUGGUUUAAUUCGACGCAACGCGAAGAACCUUACCAAGUCUUGACAUCCCUUGACAGACAUAGAAAUAUGUAAUCUCUUCGGAGCAAGGAGACAGGUGGUGCAUGGUUGUCGUCAGCUCGUGUCGUGAGAUGUUGGGUUAAGUCCCGCAACGAGCGCAACCCUUGUAUUUAGUUGCUACGCAAGAGCACUCUAGAUAGACUGCCGUGGACAACACGGAGGAAGGUGGGGAUGACGUCAAAUCAUCAUGCCCCUUAUGACCUGGGCUACACACGUACUACAAUGGCAAUAGAACAGAGGGAAGCGACUCAGCGAUGAGAAGCAGAUCCCGAAAAAUUGUCUCAGUUCGGAUUGCAGGCUGCAACCCGCCUGCAUGAAGUCGGAAUUGCUAGUAAUCGCGGAUCAGCAUGCCGCGGUGAAUACGUUCCCG
rnacentral:rRNA from 1 species